rnacentral:lncRNA from 1 species
AACGUCUAUCUCUCUGUAAAGAUGUAGAUGCUUGAAACAGUGGGAUCCCUCCAUGACAAUAAGGAGAGAGAUGUGGCCAGUAUGUGGCACACCGAAAGAUCCUGAGAAAUUAUGGACUUGCAGAACCAGCCCUGGGACUGCCAGCAUCCAGGCUUGUCAUUGAGUAAAUCUGUCUACUCCUUUAUGUUACCAGUCACUAAAAUACCUAAGCUAAUGCUCCAACACUACCAUUCUCGCAGUUAUAACCAGUCUCAAAAUAUGGGUCAUUUAGAUUCUUCUAUUUCUCUCUCUCCCCCCACCCAUCACCAAUUAUUGAUGCUAAGGGUUUUGCCUCUACCCUGCCUCCCACAGCAGUCCUUUAUUUCCAUAGUUACACCAGACUAGAGUCUGGACCCAAGUACCUCUUUUCUGACACUUUCAACAGCCUCCUCGCUCUUUUCAGAUUUCUCCAUGAAAUCCAUUCUACAUUCUAAGAUGAAUAUCUCUUUAAAUAUGGCAUUCAUCUUCAAACC